AACAUUUUACGCAAUCCUUUGCUCGGGAGAGGAGGGGAGCUUAUUUGAUAUUUCAACCUUACAGCGCUCACUCGUGCUGCGACUCUUGCCGGGCGCGCGCUUGGUUACGUCAACACACAAACGGCACACGCUCUCCUCGCGUGCGACACCGACUUGUUUUCGGUUUUCUUUGUGCCGUUGAGGGGAGGCGAACUACUCCUUCUCUCUCCCCUCACUGGCCUCCAGGGGAAGGUUGCUGCUCCUCUGACGGCGCCCUCCCCCUCUACCCCUCCCUCCCACAACGUCUCUUUCGCGUUUGCACCGUCCUCUGUGCCGGGGCUUGGGUGGCCGUUUCGUUCCUUGUCCGCGAUCUCUGCAUUUCCCCUCAUCUGUUUUCACCCUCUUUGUCGUAGGUUUUUUUUCGUUGUUGUUGCUAUUUUCGCGCUGCAUCCGCCUCCGUCUCGCAGUAGCGUCCCCUCCGGCCCGUUCCUUGCUCUCGACUGCGUUUGAGCCUUUGUGUGUCUUCCACCCCUUCUCCUUCUCUUUUUUUUUUCGCUUUUCUUCGCGUCGCUUCUCUCUCGGUCCCAUCCCCUAUCUCACUGCCACGACCGCCGCACACCGUCUAGCCAGACGGCACGAGGGAUAUCAUAGUAAAGCGUUUCUACCGAUUCAUUCCCUUUUUCUCUCUCGCUCCUGUUUUGUGUCUGUGACGGCAGGGCGCAGGGCUUCGUUGCGCGCGCUACGGACGUGUGCGCUGCUGUUAGUGAUUACUUCUCCUUUUUGCUGGUGCCGUGCAGACCGUGACAACGCAGUGCCCCUCGGGACGUCGGGCACCUUUUUUUUUUUUCGGGUCAUUUUUGUGUUGUUGUUUGUUGUGUUCUGCCGCGGUUUACGUGUUGUGGAUUAGCGCUCCUUACUGCAUGUCUGCUUUAGUCUCGUGUAGCAAUUAAAUGGCGGCCGCUGCGCAGCUCACGAAGGCGACGGCGCUAAAGAAGAACACCGUCGACUACAUCCCCAGCAAACUGGCGUACGACACAGCUAUUCCUGUUACGAUUCUCGAAGAUCGCAGCGACUUCAUCGAAAAGUGCAAACCCUACGACAUCAUUGAUGGACCGAAUCCCCUCGAUGAGCCAGAGGCGACGGAUGCUACGCGGCCGCAGGCGCAGUCUGCCCUUGUGUCGCCACCGCCAGAGGUGAAGACGGUGGAGCGCUCGUCAGGGCGCGCCAACCGCAAAAGCCACCAGUCGACAUUGAAGGCCGAAAAGCCCCACCCCGUCAAGCGAGAGAGAGACACCGAGGAAGGGCGGGACGGAGCUGUGGUUGUAUUCACUCGACCGUCACGACACGGAUGGGCAGCGGAGCGUCUUGCGCAGCAUCGACCGUAUCAGUUGGUGCGGUCGCAUGAUAUGGAGACGUGUGUGCGGUAUGUUCUGGAUGAUGUCGACUACGAUUGGUGCGAGCGUCAAAACGUCGCACCGGAGAGCCUCCAGCGCGGCGUGACUUACCUCGAGUGGGCGUACGCUUCCUCGCUCCUUAGGGCAGCGACGCCGCGUGUUGCCACUCCCGAAGACUCAGGCACCGCCGCCGCUGACUCUGUUGUCCCCGGAUACGGUGAGGGGCGCCACUCGUUGAGUACACAGUCUUCGUCUCCCACUGGUGCCGCCGCGGCAGGCAGCGGACGGCAUACGACCUCGGGACGGCAGAACGGCAAGGACAAGGCUAGUGCUGGGGACGCUGCAGUGCGCUUGUGCGCCCUGUGCUCCAAGCCGGUGCAACUGCUGACGUCGCAGUCGCGGUCCGGUGCACUGGAACGUGGUACAGGCGGUGUCAACACUCUCCAGAAAAGAGGAGGCGGGGCAACGCACUUGGCUGGUGCGCUCUCGUCAUCACCGACUGCACGAGGCGGCGCGUGGGUCGGCGGCGGUCAUGCGCGGGGCACAUCUGCCCCGCAACCGUCAGGUCUCGUGCUGCCCACCAAGAGGGCAUUCGGUGAUGUGUCCGCAGGGAUCGCGUCCCCGUCGCACGACCUUCAGAGCAGAGGACUCCGGUGCAGCGACUGCGGUGUUGUCGCGCAUCUGCGCUGCUGGUUCUUCUCAGAACCGCCGAAGCUACCGGAGGCAUGGAUAUGCGACGGCUGCACCAUUUACGCCCAUCACCGCAAACGAAGCGCAGGCAUGUGCUGCAUAUGCGGCCGCGCCGGUGGGGUGCUUCUGCCCUAUGUCCCUUCGGCACUAAGGGACGACAGCGACGCUGUCAAGCCUGGUUCCAUGCAGACGCCCGCUUUCCACGGCCGCUCGUCGUCGGCGGCUGCGCUGUUUGACACGGUCUGCCAUGCGGUGUGUGCCUUGAGCAUGCCGGAGCUGGCUGUACAUCCCCAGGUCACCGUUCUGCGACGCAACGGACUCGUCGAUAUGCAGAUGCGCCCGUACGUCUACCCGCUUCGCCGUGUCGGCAAGCACAAGUGCGCCAUGAAUUGCCGGUUUUGCCAGCAUUUAGGUGGCCGAUGUGUCCAGUGUUCACACCCACACUGCUUUGAGGCGAUGCACGCGUCCUGCGCAGCCGAAGCGCACACCGUGGAUUGCCAAGCUGAGCUGCCCAUUCUUCCUGCGACUGCCAGCCCACGCCGCACGAGCGCCGGUGCGCGAGGUGGCGCAUCAACUUUAGACGCCACCACCCAACCGAUUUCGCUUGGCUGUUCACUGAGCAGCUCCCUGAUGGGCACUACCAACUGGACCAGGUGUUCUCCCUACUGUAGGAAGCACUACGGCUACUCCGUCGGCAACUCCGUCGGGUCUGCUGAGUUAGGCCACAAGGCGGAGGCGGAGGCGCUGGCGCUGGACUUGACCGGGCUGCUCACUGGCGGCGAUGGAGUCACGUCGCCUGUGGUGCGCAAGCGUGGCCGCGGACGGCCGCCGGCGGCGCUGGUGAAGCAGCGAGAAGCAGAACGCGACCUCAUUUUGAAGCUUCGCGCCUACUGGCUUGAACGCCGCGAGCAGCGCCGCGAGACAUCGGCGCUGCUCGCCAGCGAAAUCAACGCGCGCGUGCGGCCGAUCGGCGAGGCAUCGAUGCGGCCGGAGAUAGUCAAGAUUUCGGCGGAGAAAGUGCGACUUUCGCACUUCCUGAGUCUCGUGCCGGAGUGGCAGUGGCAGCUCGUCUCCAUCGUCGAAGGCGAGCUGCCGCUGCCGGACGAGGAGUACGACGACGUGCAAAAGUUCCGUAAAGCGGCCCACACGCGUCGGUCCGGCAACACGCGCAGUUUGUACGACAAGAUGUGCGAAAGCGCCGUGCAGCUUGGCCUCUUGUGCCGAGCGGCAGAGGCGAUCAAGGAGCAGUGCAGACUGCGGCGCGCGAGCGUCGAGCAGGAGCUGGCGGCGCUCCGCAUUCUCAGUGGGUGGCGGUAGGGAGGGGGUGGGGAGGCAGUGAUGGCUUCGCAGAAGAGCGCUAACAGACCUGGGGAGCAGUAAGCUGUGGCGCCUCGCUUACAGCUACGCGCGCAAACCGCUGGCCAUGAAAGAUCGGCAGCCCAACACCACAUCGGCAAUACUCCAGGGCAGCGGCUCACGCUUUUCCUUUCGGUAUGGCGCAUCAAAGUAAGCCUCCGUGGUGCACACGUGCUUUCUUUUGCUUGUUCGUUGAUUGUAGUUGUGCAUAUAUCCGUAUAUACAUGUAUAUAUGUUUGCUAGCGACAUAUUUUACAUCCCAGCGUCCACAGAGCCCAUGAACAAGGCAAGGAACACUGCACAUGCGAAAGGAAACGGCCGAAUUUCGGCCCGGUGGGAAGCGUCAGCAACGUGCGCGCGACGCUGGCGACCUGCUGCGGUCUUGUAUGGCGCAAAUAGGCGCUUUCCAGCACAAGAUGAUGUGGCCGAACGCAGGGGCUUAACGUUAGACGGUGUUCUGGAAAUAGUUGCUAAUUUUCUUAGUCAAGUAGCAAAUGAGCUCCUGUAAAGCUUCACGCAUCUCAUCCACUCCCCAGGGGCUCUGUGCAUGCACCGAGGACGGCUCUGAGCACCCCAAGCCUGCAUGGGCGCCCACUCACAUAUGUGCCCAAUGAAAAGACUCGCCUCCCUCUACGUUGAUGCUUUCUUUCUUUUUUUUUUUACUUCGUAG
rnacentral:misc_RNA from 1 species